rnacentral:rRNA from 1 species
GGCGAUUUCCGAAUGGGGAAACCCAGUGUGUUUCGACACACUAUCAUUAACUGAAUCCAUAGGUUAAUGAGGCGAACCGGGGGAACUGAAACAUCUAAGUACCCCGAGGAAAAGAAAUCAACCGAGAUUCCCCCAGUAGCGGCGAGCGAACGGGGAGGAGCCCAGAGCCUGAAUCAGUGUGUGUGUUAGUGGAAGCGUCUGGAAAGGCGCGCGAUACAGGGUGACAGCCCCGUACACAAAAAUGCACAUAUUGUGAGCUCGAUGAGUAGGGCGGGACACGUGGUAUCCUGUCUGAAUAUGGGGGGACCAUCCUCCAAGGCUAAAUACUCCUGACUGACCGAUAGUGAACCAGUACCGUGAGGGAAAGGCGAAAAGAACCCCGGCGAGGGGAGUGAAAAAGAACCUGAAACCGUGUACGUACAAGCAGUGGGAGCCUCUUAAUGGGGUGACUGCGUACCUUUUGUAUAAUGGGUCAGCGACUUAUAUUCUGUAGCAAGGUUAACCGAAUAGGGGAGCCGAAGGGAAACCGAGUCUUAACUGGGCGUUAAGUUGCAGGGUAUAGACCCGAAACCCGGUGAUCUAGCCAUGGGCAGGUUGAAGGUUGGGUAACACUAACUGGAGGACCGAACCGACUAAUGUUGAAAAAUUAGCGGAUGACUUGUGGCUGGGGGUGAAAGGCCAAUCAAACCGGGAGAUAGCUGGUUCUCCCCGAAAGCUAUUUAGGUAGCGCCUCGUGAAUUCAUCUCCGGGGGUAGAGCACUGUUUCGGCAAGGGGGUCAUCCCGACUUACCAACCCGAUGCAAACUGCGAAUACCGGAGAAUGUUAUCACGGGAGACACACGGCGGGUGCUAACGUCCGUCGUGAAGAGGGAAACAACCCAGACCGCCAGCUAAGGUCCCAAAGUCAUGGUUAAGUGGGAAACGAUGUGGGAAGGCCCAGACAGCCAGGAUGUUGGCUUAGAAGCAGCCAUCAUUUAAAGAAAGCGUAAUAGCUCACUGGUCGAGUCGGCCUGCGCGGAAGAUGUAACGGGGCUAAACCAUGCACCGAAGCUGCGGCAGCGACACUAUGUGUUGUUGGGUAGGGGAGCGUUCUGUAAGCCUGUGAAGGUGGCCUGUGAGGGUUGCUGGAGGUAUCAGAAGUGCGAAUGCUGACAUAAGUAACGAUAAAGCGGGUGAAAAGCCCGCUCGCCGGAAGACCAAGGGUUCCUGUCCAACGUUAAUCGGGGCAGGGUGAGUCGACCCCUAAGGCGAGGCCGAAAGGCGUAGUCGAUGGGAAACAGGUUAAUAUUCCUGUACUUGGUGUUACUGCGAAGGGGGGACGGAGAAGGCUAUGUUGGCCGGGCGACGGUUGUCCCGGUUUAAGCGUGUAGGCUGGUUUUCCAGGCAAAUCCGGAAAAUCAAGGCUGAGGCGUGAUGACGAGGCACUACGGUGCUGAAGCGACAAAUGCCCUGCUUCCAGGAAAAGCCUCUAAGCAUCAGGUAACAUCAAAUCGUACCCCAAACCGACACAGGUGGUCAGGUAGAGAAUACCAAGGCGCUUGAGAGAACUCGGGUGAAGGAACUAGGCAAAAUGGUGCCGUAACUUCGGGAGAAGGCACGCUGAUAUGUAGGUGAAGCGACUUGCUCGUGGAGCUGAAAUCAGUCGAAGAUACCAGCUGGCUGCAACUGUUUAUUAAAAACACAGCACUGUGCAAACACGAAAGUGGACGUAUACGGUGUGACGCCUGCCCGGUGCCGGAAGGUUAAUUGAUGGGGUUAGCGGUAACGCGAAGCUCUUGAUCGAAGCCCCGGUAAACGGCGGCCGUAACUAUAACGGUCCUAAGGUAGCGAAAUUCCUUGUCGGGUAAGUUCCGACCUGCACGAAUGGCGUAAUGAUGGCCAGGCUGUCUCCACCCGAGACUCAGUGAAAUUGAACUCGCUGUGAAGAUGCAGUGUACCCGCGGCAAGACGGAAAGACCCCGUGAACCUUUACUAUAGCUUGACACUGAACAUUGAGCCUUGAUGUGUAGGAUAGGUGGGAGGCUUUGAAGUGUGGACGCCAGUCUGCAUGGAGCCGACCUUGAAAUACCACCCUUUAAUGUUUGAUGUUCUAACGUGGGCCCCUUACCGGGGUUGCGGACAGUGUCUGGUGGGUAGUUUGACUGGGGCGGUCUCCUCCUAAAGAGUAACGGAGGAGCACGAAGGUUGGCUAAUCCUGGUCGGACAUCAGGAGGUUAGUGCAAUGGCAUAAGCCAGCUUGACUGCGAGCGUGACGGCGCGAGCAGGUGCGAAAGCAGGUCAUAGUGAUCCGGUGGUUCUGAAUGGAAGGGCCAUCGCUCAACGGAUAAAAGGUACUCCGGGGAUAACAGGCUGAUACCGCCCAAGAGUUCAUAUCGACGGCGGUGUUUGGCACCUCGAUGUCGGCUCAUCACAUCCUGGGGCUGAAGUAGGUCCCAAGGGUAUGGCUGUUCGCCAUUUAAAGUGGUACGCGAGCUGGGUUUAGAACGUCGUGAGACAGUUCGGUCCCUAUCUGCCGUGGGCGCUGGAGAACUGAGGGGGGCUGCUCCUAGUACGAGAGGACCGGAGUGGACGCAUCACUGGUGUUCGGGUUGUCAUGCCAAUGGCACUGCCCGGUAGCUAAAUGCGGAAGAGAUAAGUGCUGAAAGCAUCUAAGCACGAAACUUGCCCCGAGAUGAGUUCUCCCUGACUCCUUGAGAGUCCUGAAGGAACGUUGAAGACGACGACGUUGAUAGGCCGGGUGUGUAAGCGCAGCGAUGCGUUGAGCUAACCGGUACUAAUGAACCGUGAGGCUUAACCUUACAACGCCGAAG